GACGAACGCUGGCGGCGUGCCUAAUACAUGCAAGUAGAACGCUGAAGGAGGAGCUCGCUUCUCUGGAUGAGUUGCGAACGGGUGAGUAACGCGUAGGUAACCUGCCUGGUAGCGGGGGAUAACUAUUGGAAACGAUAGCUAAUACCGCAUAACAGUAGAUAUCGCAUGAUAGCUGCUUGAAAGGUGCAAUUGCACCACUACCAGAUGGACCUGCGUUGUAUUAGCUAGUUGGUGAGGUAACGGCUCACCAAGGCGACGAUACAUAGCCGACCUGAGAGGGUGAUCGGCCACACUGGGACUGAGACACGGCCCAGACUCCUACGGGAGGCAGCAGUAGGGAAUCUUCGGCAAUGGACGGAAGUCUGACCGAGCAACGCCGCGUGAGUGAAGAAGGUUUUCGGAUCGUAAAGCUCUGUUGUAAGAGAAGAACGAGUGUGAGAGUGGAAAGUUCACACUGUGACGGUAUCUUACCAGAAAGGGACGGCUAACUACGUGCCAGCAGCCGCGGUAAUACGUAGGUCCCGAGCGUUGUCCGGAUUUAUUGGGCGUAAAGCGAGCGCAGGCGGUUAGAUAAGUCUGAAGUUAAAGGCUGUGGCUUAACCAUAAUACGCUUUGGAAACUGUUUAACUUGAGUGCAAGAGGGGAGAGUGGAAUUCCAUGUGUAGCGGUGAAAUGCGUAGAUAUAUGGAGGAACACCGGUGGCGAAAGCGGCUCUCUGGCUUGUAACUGACGCUGAGGCUCGAAAGCGUGGGGAGCAAACAGG
rnacentral:rRNA from 1 species